GAUGAACGCUAGCGGCAGGCCUAACACAUGCAAGUCGAGGGAGAAGCCUUUCGGGGCAGAAACCGGCGCACGGGUGCGUAACGCGUAUGCAACCUACCUUUCACAGGGGGAUAGCCCGAAGAAAUUUGGAUUAAUACCCCAUAAUAUUGUUGGAUGGCAUCAUCUGAUAAUUAAAACUGCGGUGGUGAAAAAUGGUCAUGCGUCCUAUUAGCUAGUUGGAGUGGUAACGGCACCCCAAGGCUACGAUAGGUAGGGGUCCUGAGAGGGAGAUCCCCCACACUGGUACUGAGACAGGGACCAGACUCCUACGGGAGGCAGCAGUGAGGAAUAUUGGUCAAUGGUCGGAAGACUGAACCAGCCAUGCCGCGUGCAGGAAGAAUGCCUUAUGGGUUGUAAACUGCUUUUAUAUGGGAAGAAUAAGGUGUACGUGUACAUUGAUGACGGUACCAUAUGAAUAAGCAUCGGCUAACUCCGUG
rnacentral:rRNA from 1 species